CCCUGACAGGUGCGUCCCGUGCCUGACUUAACCCAAGACAGGAGAUCAUCAUG
rnacentral:ncRNA from 1 species